rnacentral:ribozyme from 1 species
UGAGUGAAAGAAGAGAAGGAAACAAAAAGAACGUAAUGAAUGAACAAUGAGUGAGAGAAGAGAGCGUUCAUUCCUUGUUCCUUUCUUCUUUGUUCCUUUUGUUUUCAAUUAAAUUACAAUGGAAUGAAAUGUAAGCGUGAAUUUAAUUGAAAAACAAAAGAGAACAAAGACAAAGGAACGUAAUGUGUGUUUUAUUUGUUUCUUUUGUUUUGGCUCUUUUCGUGCUUCCGUUCGCUUCUCUCUCUCACAUUACAAAAGAGCAAAACAAAAGGAAACAAAACACACAUUACACCAUUCAUCUCUCUCACUUGUUUCUUUUCCUUUCAUUUCAAU